CCUUUAUGAAUGAGACCAGCAGGCUCAGACCAAAUCCUCAGUUUAUUUUGACUCUUGCUGCUGACAUCUUGCGCCGAGAAUCACUACGAUCAAGACAAUAUAGUCCCGUGUAGCAGUGUAGAGCCUACGUACAUUGUGUAUUUGCUUUGAAUGCGCAUUGUCUUAUAACAUGGGUCCAACAGAGUUAUAGUGAAAUAUUGCUCUUCAGCUUAUAAAGUAUCUGUGUUUACAGUUUUGUCCGAGUUGUAAAGGAGUGAGGCACUGCAAACAGAGGCUCAGUCAGAAGAAUGAGAGAGAGAGUUACUUUUCUUUGAAAACAUUAUUCCAUUUGUAUCUGGGCUUCCAAUACUUUAAUUGCACCUGACAAACUAUGGUUACAUUAGGUAGGUCAUAUCAGACUUUUUUUACUACAUUAUUGCAGUUAUUAUCAAGGAUCUCGAAGUUAGUUAUAGUGAUUAUAACUGAACAAUGCAAAGCCCCCCUGAACUACAACCUGACUCGUUAGACAAUGACAUAUCUGAUGACAACAAACACUUGAUUAGAAUGUCAAUGUGUGUCAAGCAGACGAACCUCUGAAUUGAUCUAUUGUUUGUAACAGAUUGUUAUUUUUGAUAGUGGAUUGGUGGUUUCUGUGGGAAUAACAUAUGUAUUGGAUUUGUUUUAAUCAUCUCUGUAAAAACAAACGGACAGAAUUAUUACACUUUUUUCAAUCUUAAAAAAUAGUAAUGUUAAGGGAACUAUAGGGUUAUAGGGUCCUUGCUAAAUGCAAAAUAAAUAUGAGAAUAAAUGUGAAUAAUUGCGAAUAAGUUGAAAUGACAAUGUUGUAAAAUGCACUUUUAAGCUGUUCUGUGAAGCGUUUAAUUGAACGCCCUGGUGACUAGUGGAUGAAACGCUGUAAAUGUAUUUUUUUCUCUGUUAAAGGGACAGCAUGCUCAACCCUAAACUGUGUGUUUUUCUGACAGCAUGCUCAACCCUAAACUGUGUUUUUCUGACAGCAUGCUCAACCCUAAACUGUGUGUUUUUCUGACAGCAUGCUCAACCCUAAACUGUGUGUGUUUUUCUGACAGCAUGCUCAACCCUAAACUGUGUGUUUUUUCUGACAGCAUGCUCAACCCUAAAACUGUGUGUUUUUUGACAGCAUGCUCAACCCAACUGUGUGUUUUUCGAGCAGCAUGCUCAACCCAAACUGUGUGUUUUUCUGACAGCAUGCUCAACCCUAAACUGUGUGUUUUUCUGACAGCAUGCUCAACCCUAAACUGUGUGUUUU
rnacentral:lncRNA from 1 species